rnacentral:rRNA from 1 species
AACGUAGGAGACAAACGUUAUCCGGAGUUACUGGGCGUAAAGGGCGUGCAGGUGGUCUGUUAAGUCUGGCGUGAAAGCUCUCGGCUAAACCGGGAGAGGUCGUUGGAUACUGGCGGACUAGAGGACGGUAGAGGCGUGUGGAAUUCCGGGUGUAGUGGUGAAAUGCGUAGAGAUCCGGAGGAACACCAGUGGCGAAGGCGACACGCUGGGCCGUACCUGACACUAAAAACGCGACAGCAUGGGGGAGCGAACGGG